GUGCUCGCUUUGGCAGCACAUAUACUAAAAUUGGAACGAUACAGAGAAGAUUAGCAUGGCCCCUGUGCAAGGCUGACACGCAAAUUCGUGAAGCAUUCCAUAUUUUU